rnacentral:rRNA from 1 species
UACAGAGGGUGCAAGCGUUAAUCGGAAUUACUGGGCGUAAAGCGCGCGUAGGUGGUUCGUUAAGUUGGAUGUGAAAGCCCCGGGCUCAACCUGGGAACUGCAUUCAAAACUGACGAGCUAGAGUAUGGUAGAGGGUGGUGGUAUUUCCUGUGUAGCGGUGAAAUGCGUAGAUAUAGGAAGGAACACCAGUGGCGAAGGCGACCACCUGGACUGAUACUGACACUGAGGUGCGAAAGCGUGGGGAGCAAACAGG